AUCUUCCUUGAUAAGUUUAUUAUUUCCUGUCCUGCCCACACUGGACUAAUAAACCGACCUUCAGCUGGGUUACUCCCUCCUCUGGUGGGCCUGGAGGUCAUGCUAUCCAGUGAGAAAUUACCCUCAACGGCUGCAGUUGUUAUAUAAAAGCUGCCCAAUGGUUUCCAAGAGCUGAUAAAUUUGGGAGGCAGAUGAGGAUUGAAGUCUUCGCCAGCCUUCUAAAACCACAAAAAGUCUCAGCUUUUGGGAUGAGGAUGAGUAAUAGGAGGGACCCACGCCUGGCUUGGCCUCCUCCGUAUCAUAGAAUCAUAGAAUGGCCUUGGUAGAAAAGGACCACAAUGAUCAUCUGGUUUCAACUCCCCUGUUAUGUGCAGAGUCGCCAACCACCAGACCAGGCUGCCCAGUUACAGCAGCUUUUCUAUCCAGAAGUUAACUGAAGAAUGUUAUGCCCACAGGGUCAGCAUCAAGUUUCAAGUCAUCAGGGACCAGCGUUUUAGGCUGUAAUUAUUUCCUUCCUUGCAGUGCUUAUCUCCUUGCACUGACUGGAGAGAGGGUUUCGCCACCACUCCAAACUAGCUGAGAAAUGAAUCGAUAUCAGUGAAUGACAGUGCAAGACUGCAUCCAACCAUACAUCCAACACCCUGGUAUAAGAGUGGGUAAAAGCAGAUGCUCAGGGAAGAGAAAGUGGAAAUAUUCAGCAUCCUCAACACUUUGCAGCAAGAAGUUCCACUGCUCUUGCAAAGAAAAAAACUCCAUUUGAGUUCGUUUUUAACUGAACUGAUCUGUCAUUAGCUUCCUUCAAUGGCCCUUCCUCUUCAAUGGCAAAAAGUUAAUCCUCUCCAUACUUCAGUAGAUUACCAGCCUUUAUUAUCCCUCCUCAGUUGUCACUAGCACAGGUUUAAUCCCUUCCCCAGCUUCUCAUUUCACUGCUGAAUUACUCCAAACUUAUGCAAGUAUCAGACAAUUGACUUGCAUGGUCAUCUGAACCUAGCUAUAGCAGUUACGCAAGGAGGAGGAAAAAACACAUUUCUGGAUUAUCUCGUGACGCUUUGCUGAUGCACACAUUUUUAUUGACUUCUGCUGGAUCAAUUUUUGAUGUCUGUGUAGGUUUUUUUUUUUAAGCAGACGCCAGCAAAUUUAUUUGGGAUUGACAACCUAGAUGUGUAGAGAGAUACAGUAGCACAGAUGUCACAGCAAUGAGACGCAAGGACAGCAAGGAAGAUGAAAAUCUCGUGAUAUGGAAGGAGCGUGAGAAAUCAGAUUCAAGUCCAUGAAGGCAUUCGUGACCCUGUGAGUUAAAGACGUUGGCGACUCUUUGCAGGACUGAAGACUCAACUAGCAAAAAGAACUUAUGAAUUCAAAUACGUUUGAACAAAUAGCUCUCAACUCCUUCUAUAUAAACUUUUUUUUUUUUUCCCCCCCCACAUAUGAGACUUUCUAUUUUUGUUUGUCUCAUUUUUGACCAAACCUUUGUUUUGGUUGAAUGUCUUGAAUUUCCUUUGUUGUGAUUGAGAAGAUACUUCCAAAAAAGGAAAGAAAGGAAAACUCAGUGGCUUUUUCUCUGGCUGACUUUAUUUCAUAGUAAAUGAAGAGGAUUUAUUUUUGUGCACGCUUGUAUAUUAUUUCUGAAGAGCUACAGAAUAUCAGGGAAAUAAACAGAUUGCCC
ensembl:lncRNA